rnacentral:rRNA from 1 species
GUGGGGAAUAUUCCGCAAUGGACGAAAGUCUGACGGAGCAACGCCGCGUGAGUGAUGAAUGUUUUCGGACUGUAAAGCUCUGUUGUUUAGGACGAAAGUGCCUGUUGCAAAUAGUUACAGGUAUUGACGGUACUGAACGAGGAAGCCACGGCUAACUACGUGCCAGCAGCCGCGGUAAUACGUAGGUGGCAAGCGUUGUCCGGAAUUAUUGGGCGUAAAGAGCAUGUAGGCGGGAAUCUAAGUCUGUUGUGAAAAUGCGGGGCUCAACCCCGUAUUGCGAUGGAAACUGGGUUUCUUGAGUGCAGGAGAGGAAAGGGGAAUUCCCAGUGUAGCGGUGAAAUGCGUAGAUAUUGGGAGGAACACCAGUGGCGAAGGCGCCUUUCUGGACUGUGUCUGACGCUGAGAUGCGAAAGCCAGGGUAGCGAACGGGAUUAGAUACCCGAGUAGUCC